UUCCCAAAACCAAAACAAAAGAAACCCGAUCCCAAAUUCCCAAUCUCCUCUUUCUCCUCCACCUCAAUCGGUCAAUCCCAAUCUCCUCCGCCUCAAUCCCGAUCCCAAUCUCCUCCGCCUCCUCCUCCGCCUGAAGUCGCCGCCUCCGCCACCUCAAGUCGCCGCUGAAGUCGCUGCAGCGCAGGAUCCUCGCCGGCGCCGGAGGGGACGGCUCGGCCGCGGCGGAUUACCUCCCGUUUGAGUUCAGGUUGGAGGCCGCCUGUGCGUUUCUCGAUACGCAGAUUAAUUGAAGAUGAAGAAUUUAAAAGAGUGGUUUUCCUAUGAGCUAUUGUCUAAAUCAUUACUAUCUGCAAGGCCUUUCAGCUUCUUUUAUGAGGAAUCACUGGAUGGUGAACUUGGCAACCGAGGAGAAAUAUUGAGGUCUCUAUGGUGAUUUCGGAUUCUAACCCUUGCUAUGAAGACGCACAUAUGAGGCUUGCUGCAGUACUUUUAAUGUUGCUAUUGAGUACAACUGAGUGUUAUGUUUGUUUCAUGGUCUUUUCUUUCUUCUGUCAUGAUCUUGUUCAUGCCUGAACAUUUGAAAGAUGGGAAAUAAGUGGACUAUGGUUGUGCUACUAUUUUGUUUAUAGACGAACUUACUACUCUUCUAGUUUAUCAAGUAAUUAAGUAGAUUGUCCUUACUAAUCGUGA